CUCCUGCUUAGCAAAGUAAUGAGCAGAAACAAAGGUAAUUGCAGUAGUAACUCCUUGCUAGGACUCAAAACCAAGUCUGAUGGAAGAAAAAGAUUGGUGGAGGAUUUUUUUUCUCUGCUACAGAAAACUACUAAUUUCAGUCCCAGAACUGCAGCACAAUUGCAUGCAGGUAGACCUGUCAGUCUGCAUGGAAGUUCAGGUUUCUCAAGAAAUCCUGGGAUGGAACCAGAUGAAGUUGUAGUGGCUCACCCUGCUGACAUGGCUGAAACAUUAAAAAAGUAUAACAGUUUUCUGUUUUUGUUUUUAUUUGCUACAGUUGCCUAUCUGCUAUAGGCAGUGACUUGAUAAUUAAUUUUACAUAAACUUGCACCUCUGUCUUACAGGUCUUUUCUGAUUUCAUAGUCAAAUACACAGCUCUAGAGAGUUCAUCCACAGUAAACAUAUUUUUUCUGGCAUGUAGGUCACAAUUAAAACAAACUUUUGUAGCUUUUUAUUAUUCUUUGAAUUUAAAAAGUACAGUCAUUUAAGAGGUUGUUAAGCAAUGCUACCAGGGGGUUGUGUUCUAUUACCAUGUGAAAUUUCUCACAAACAAACAGUAUUCUCAGUAAGACCAUCUCAAUCAGUGCAUAUUUGGUUUCUGCCUCAGUCAUCAAUUUAGAAGCAUAUGCCACUGGUUGCCAAUUACUGUAUUUUUGUAAAGCACUGCACCAACCCCUGGCUGUGAUACAUCUAAUAACAUUUUUGUAGGUUUUCUGGGUCCAUAACAUUUUAAUGCUGUCUUUUUGAUAAGCUGAUUAUGGAUCAGUUUCAAUACAAGCCACAAUUCAUUCUGUUCUGCAUUCUAGCACCAUUCACUUUUAUUUUUGAGGAGUGUCCUCCAAGGUGUUGUUUUUACUGAUUCAUACGCAUUAGGAAUGAAUAUCCCCAGAAAAUUUACUAUUCCAAGGGCUCGUCUACACAAGACAGGCUGUAUAGUAGCUUGAUACUAUUGUGCAGUAGCAUUGCAUGGCAAAUACCUGGGCUGAGAUGCUACUAUGCAGUAGUAUUAGCCUACUGUACAGUAGCAUCACAAAAAAAGGUGCUUACCAGUGCUACUGUGCAGUAGCUCCAAUUACUGUGUGUGUAUUUAGUACUUAUUUAUACAAGUACUGAAUAAGUCUAGGAGCAGACAGUCAAAAAGCUUGAGGCUGAAUCAAUUCAGUGUUUGUGGUUAGUCUAAACUGCACAGAUUAAACUGAAACAGGAGUGAAUCAACACUUAUUUAUACCUUUGAUACAGGAAAUGCAGUCACAUGUCCACAGUGGCUCAGGGCAGAAGCCAGGGGUGGAAGACC
rnacentral:lncRNA from 1 species